UCUUCUGCUGCUGUUGUGUCGCUUCAAAAAGGAUUCAUUCUUUACCAGAACUCGGAGCACAAAUCAGAGCUCUGCAAUGAACCACGUGAUCAAGGAUGAAGCUCAACACAGUCGACAUAAUUCUACUUUUCAAGGUGAUGCUUGUGUUUAUGAAUCAAUCAAAGACCACGAUGACACACAAAAUGAUGGCAGUGUGUUGUAUGCACAGGUCUCCCACGAUAGAGCUAAAACCAAGAAAGACAACGAUGACAGCCUGUUGUAUGCACAGGUCAAUUACAAUAAUGCGAAACCGAAGA